UGGGGAAUUUUGGACAAUGGGCGCAAGCCUGAUCCAGCCAUGCCGCGUGCAGGAUGAAGGCCUUCGGGUUGUAAACUGCUUUUGUACGGAACGAAAAGGUGCCUUCUAAUAAAGGGCGCUCAUGACGGUACCGUAAGAAUAAGCACCGGCUAACUACGUGCCAGCAGCCGCGGUAAUACGUAGGGUGCGAGCGUUAAUCGGAAUUACUGGACGUAAAGCGUGCGCAGGCGGCUUUGUAAGACAGAGGUGAAAUCCCCGGGCUCAACCUGGGAACUGCCUUUGUGACUGCAAGGCUGGAGUGCGGCAGAGGGGGAUGGAAUUCCGCGUGUAGCAGUGAAAUGCGUAGAUAUGCGGAGGAACACCGAUGGCGAAGGCAAUCCCCUGGGCCUGCACUGACGCUCAUGCACGAAAGCGUGGGGAGCAAAC
rnacentral:rRNA from 1 species